CACUGCAGGUUUGGGAUGAAGAUGAGUAACUGCAGGGUUUUACUGCUGAUGAACUCAGCCAAAGAACAAUUUUUCUUCAUCCAUCAAUGAGGAGACAAGCUCCUGGCAAAAUGCCCUUCGGUCUUAUCUGCAAAGGCAGAAGACAACAACAUCCCCCUCUGGUUCCAACACCAUUUCAGUUCAACUCACAACAGCACCUCCAGGAGCUCCAGCUAUCCCCAUCACCUUGUGACAUAAUGAUCAGAAGCAGUUCGUUCACCCACUGGCUGACAAUAUUGAUGCUGUAUUGCUGACAGUAAGAACCAGUAUUUCUCAAGAAAAAAAUAAACAUAAAUUUAACACAGAAGGGGAAUACAGAAAGCACU